rnacentral:rRNA from 1 species
CGGACCUUUCGGGGUCAGCGGCGGACGGGUGAGUAACGCGUGGGAACGUGCCUUCCGGUUCGGAAUAACCCUGGGAAACUAGGGCUAAUACCGGAUACGCCCUUAUGGGGAAAGGUUUACUGCCGGAAGAUCGGCCCGCGUCUGAUUAGCUAGUUGGUGGGGUAACGGCCUACCAAGGCGACGAUCAGUAGCUGGUCUGAGAGGAUGAUCAGCCACACUGGGACUGAGACACGGCCCAGACUCCUACGGGAGGCAGCAGUGGGGAAUAUUGGACAAUGGGCGCAAGCCUGAUCCAGCCAUGCCGCGUGAGUGAUGAAGGCCUUAGGGUUGUAAAGCUCUUUUAUCCGGGACGAUAAUGACGGUACCGGAGGAAUAAGCCCCGGCUAACUUCGUGCCAGCAGCCGCGGUAAUACGAAGGGGGCUAGCGUUGCUCGGAAUCACUGGGCGUAAAGGGCGCGUAGGCGGCGUUUUAAGUCGGGGGUGAAAGCCUGUGGCUCAACCACAGAAUGGCCUUCGAUACUGGGACGCUUGAGUAUGGUAGAGGUUGGUGGAACUGCGAGUGUAGAGGUGAAAUUCGUAGAUAUUCGCAAGAACACCGGUGGCGAAGGCGGCCAACUGGACCAUUACUGACGCUGAGGCGCGAAAGCGUGGGGAGCAAACAGGAUUAGAU